UACGUAGGGGGCAAGCGUUGUCCGGAUUCAUUGGGCGUAAAGAGCGUGUAGGCGGCCAGGUAGGUCGGUUGUGAAAACUGGAGGCUCAACCUUCAGACGUCGACCGAAACCAUCUGGCUAGAGUCCGGGAAGAGGAGAGUGGAAUUCCUGGUGUAGCGGUGAAAUGCGCAGAUAUCAGGAAGAACACCCGUGGCGAAGGCGGCUCUCUGGGACGGUGACUGACGCUGAGACGCGAAAGCGUGGGGAGCAAACAGG
rnacentral:rRNA from 1 species